CACCGUUUCAGUGGCAUUUAAAUCCCCGGCGCUCCUCCGCCUAGGUGACGCGCAAUCGCCCCCCCAGGCAGCCCAGGCGGCGGCAGCAGCCGCGAUGUCUGCAAACAGCGGAUUCGGAGCGCUGGG
rfam:Loxodonta africana unplaced genomic scaffold scaffold_5, whole genome shotgun sequence.